AGCAGCCGCGGUAAUUCCAGCUCCAAUAGCGUAUAUUAAAGUUGUUGCAGUUAAAAAGCUCGUAGUUGAACCUCGGGGUCUACCCAUUGGUCAGGCUUAAUUGUCUGCACUGGUGAGAUGGAUCUCUACCUUCUGAGGAACUUUCAUGCCAUUUAUUUGGUGUGAUGGGAAAUCAGGACUGUUACUUUGAAAAAAUUAGAGUGUUUAAAGCAGACUAUCGUCUGAAUACAUUAGCAUGGAAUAAUGAAAUAGGACGGACUGAUUCUAUUUCGUUGGUUUCUAGGAUCACCGUAAUGAUUAAUAGGGAUAGUUGGGGGCAUUAGUAUUCAAUUGUCAGAGGUGAAAUUCUUGGAUUUAUUGAAGACUAACUACUGCGAAAGCAUUUGCCAAGGAUGUUUUCAUUAAUCAAGAACGAAAGUUAGGGGGAUCGAAGACGAUCAGAUACCGUCGUAGUCUUAACCAUAAACUAUGCCGACUA
rnacentral:rRNA from 1 species